AGCAACAAACACAGUUACUGGUCCCGAGAAAGACCAUGAGGGCUGGGGGAGGGGAGCCCCCAACCUUGAUAAUCUACUCAUGUCAAUUUUAUUAUGGAAAAUUUGUGGCUCAAUAUUCCCUGCCCAUGCCAUGCUUUUAUUAAAGUGUGUAAAUCAGUUUUUAAAAUUUAUGAAAACUUUCAUAAAGAUCAUUGAGAAGGUUAAUUAGGAGGGAACACAUUGCCGGAUGCGGCUGUCAUUGCAAAGACGGAGAAUGGCGCUGGCGCUGGGGUGUUGGGAGUGCUGACCGAUGAGCAGAGACCAGGGUGGGUGCUGUCGGUGGUGAGAGCUGUGUUCCUAGAUCUUGUUGGUGAGGAGCAGAACUUUACCUCUCACUGAUAUUUCAUCGUUUCAACCUUGCUAGGUCUUGGCACAUCGAAAGAUCCAAUUCCUUCCUGCAAAGAGCUCUUCGUCUCACAGGAAAGCAGCCAUAUGUACAAAUGGAAGUCGGUAGCUCCCUGUCUGCUCUAUCAGGCCUUCUCUGCUCCAUAUCUGAGUGCUCACAACUGCCUGUGUGGUGCGUGGAUUAGCAACUUUUUACAGACAAGGGGCGAUGGAAAGUACAGCUUCUGAAUCAACAACAGCAGCAGCAGCAUCUGGGAACAGGUUAGAAAGGCAAGUACUCAGCCCUGCCCCAGACCUUCUGAACUAGACAUGCCGAGGGCAGGGCAUGCUCAGGUAGGAGAGAACGACUGUCCUAAUCACUUCUGUGGGAAACCCAUGAUCUCUGGAGUCUCAUGUUUUCAGAUGCCAGAGACAGGAAACCUGUUCAAAGCACUUAAGGGAGAAGAAAGGGAAUAUACUGGCUUAAAUACAGAGAAACAGAGAAUGAUGUUAGCAGCAAUAAUGCCUCCAGUGUGCCCCACUCUUCCUAGCCUCAUCUUAUAUUUUCCUUCUAUUGAAUUUCUCCCUGCACCAUGGAAGGCAGGGUGAGGGGGCUGGUCUUAGAGAAGCCAAGCUUAUAUCACACCACUUUAUCACUACAAGGGAAUAGAACUCACCUCUCUCUCAAGGUCUCUUCAUUAAGUCCUAGGAGAGGCUGUGAUUAUUCAAGCUGGAGUCACAUGUGCAAUCAUGUGACAGGCCACGGGAGCCUGUGCUCACCCUGGCAGAGGUGCUCAUCCAGGAGAGGCAGUAUACUAUGAUGUGCAGGUCCCCGCAAGACCACAAGGUGAAUAGGCAUAAAUUCCACCCAAAAAGGAGGUGCUUCUCUACGUGGGAACUGGCCAGGGGAGCAAUGUCCAAAAAUCAAAUAGCUAUAACUCACUGAGUAACACCUGACACCAUAAGUGAGUAUACCUUGUUCCUGGCUCUGGGGUAUUGGAAGGGGUCUUGGUUCCACUCCAUACUUAGUAUGGUGGCUUCCAAAGAUACUGUCCCCCAUGCUAACUAUACUCUUCAGAAUUUGCCUUGUGAGACACCGGGACGACCAGGGUGCACGUGUGAAAACAGAGGCAGUAUGUUUCUAAAGGUUAAAGUCACCGUGGCAAUUAGGUAAUAAAGGUGAUUGAGACCCAGCAGUGCUAACUGGAACACCAGCACUCCUCUCCUCAUCCCUCUCGACCUGUCUCUGCCCACCUCCAUAUGCAGAGGUGGAGCAGAGGUGCCGGAGCAGACAUUAUGGUGGAGAGCUUUAUAAUUACACUACUUAGACUCUUCCCUCAGCCCCUGGCCAGCUGGGGGUGCUUGAGCUAAGAAGGCCCCUCCCCUCUCUGAGCCUCAGAUUUUCAUCUGUGAAAUAAAUGCAUCUGAUGAUACCUGCAGAACAGCCUUUGCUGUGGAAGACCAAGGGAGGAAGUACUAAGAUCACUUGGUACAAGCCUUGUAAAGAUGUACCACAUCUGUACCACAUCUCAUUUUCUUUCUUUUCUUUCUGCCUAACAAGAGCCCAAACACAACAAACCAGUGUAAUUUUUGAAAGCUACUUUGUGAAUUGCAUUUGGUUGUUUUAAUUCUCCUUCUUGUAAUCCUCAAAAGCACGGUGCUGACACUGAUUUCAAAGGUCGGAGAACUUGAGCUAAGACAUGAAAGAGAUCCUGUGUUUCCAUCCUGGCAAGGACCCAGCUGAAUGUCGGUGCCUGCUCUGGGCAGGGGCGGCUCUCAGAGGCUUCACAACCCAAAAACAUCCUCAGCUCUGCAGCUCAGGGAGUAAAUUUUGCCAUUGGCAUUGUGGUUGUUAACAUAAGAAGCAAAAGAUCUCUUUAAUGGGUCAAGAACAGGAUCAGAAAGCUGGCAAGAGUUUAAACCAGUGUUAAAAGUGGAGGUGGGUUUGUGUAUUACCAUAUAUAAUUAGAUAUACAGCAAGAUGGAUGUAAGUAAGGAUGAAGGGAAGGAAAGGAAAUAUAGACUGUCAAAAAAAGGUUUAGAAAAUCUGUAAGUGCUGAUGGGGAAAGACACUUUAGAGAUAUUCAGUGAGCGAUCUCUGUGCGCACAAGUGGAUUCUUCUUUUCUUCCUUCCUUCCCCACCCCUCCGCAGCCCACCUCCUCUCUUUUAUCGUUAGGCCGAGAGUAACCAGUUGAUCAAUCACUAGCUAGCUUAUGCACAAAGGAGGACUUCCGGAUAUUCACCAGAAACUGUACCAGUGACAACCUCUGGGAAGUGGGAAUUGGCCAAGACGUGGGGGAGGUCUUUUCCUUUUCAGUCUGUACUCUUGGCCUAUCUGAAUUUUUCUCUUUUGUAAUAACAACAAUGAAAGCAACAGUGGCGAGGGCUGGGAGUGGAAAGCAGGCCCCAUGGAGGGGUCAUCCCGAGUUCAAGGCUGGAUAGGAAGGAGAGGCUACAGCUGGGGGAGGAGGCGCCAGGCCCGAGUGAACAAAGCGGCCUCCUCCAGGGAAGCCCUGACCUGGUGUCCACUGUGGAAUGACAAAUGGCCCUUCCGCCACCACCAUGCAGGGCCAGGCUCACGGCUGUGAUUCCUGCCUGAGGCUCAAGUCUUUUCCCAUAAAAGCCGCUCACUCUGGGGGGACCUGGGGACAAAGAACUGAAUGAUUCUGAGGAACUGUCUUGCCCAGGAAGGGGAAAUGUUAUUUGCAGGUGAAGAGCACUUUCCUGUCUCACAGCCCCCCACCCUGCCAAAGUCCCAGGUGCCAUAUUUGACAAAUGAUCCUGGCUUUCCUCAGGCCUGAUGCUGCUGCAUUUUAAUGGACAAAGGCUGCAGGAGGCAGUGGAAAAGAGCCCUGCGCCUGUGGGCCAAGCCCAGCCUUUAUCCACAUCCACCAAAGACACGGCCAUUGCUGCUCAUGGGUCCUGCAGAAUCCGACAGACCAGACCGGAAAGUGGAGCUCUGGGAUCCAGGGCCACACAGCUCUGAGUCCCCUUCCACUCUCCACUGACGAGAGGCCACACAGACAUUUCAGGUGUUUCUGAACAUGGACCACAAUAUUUGCAUGGGUCAGAUGAGGAACACAUUUGGCCGGGGUCUUCUGCUUAAUUUUGUAGUCUUUCUACUUUUCAUAAAGAUGUAGGCGCAUCCUUCUUUACUCCAAAGCGGUGAUUCUCAAGGAUCUAAACCACCCCUGCCAUCGCAAAAACUUCUGACAGAGGCGGCCAGUGCUAUGGGCUUCGAAUCUAUGCUUCUAACAGGUUCCCUGUGCUAUUGCUGCCUCACACUGUUACCCACUGCUCCAAAGGAACACCCGGAUGAACAGUGACAAAUGGCGCUGGAUCCUUGACUUCCGGUAACCAGGUGGGUGAGGACUGUGGUAGGUUGGAGAAUGUCCACCCAUAGGAGGCAACUAGGACAGUGUCCCAGAGGUCCACACAACACAGGAACAGUGAAGUGCAGAAGUGACUUCCUUCAGGAAUCUGCAAACCCAUCUCUGGGUGGUCAUACUCUCUCUAAACUUCACCCCAUGGCUUCCACUGUCACCACUGAGCACACCAUUGUCACUGUUGGUGUGUCUGUCUCUACCACAAAGACUCCAGUACGCACAGUGGCUAACUCAGAUCUUCUGCCACUCGGCGAACCUCCCCAACGUCACACAAUGAGAAAUCCUGUAUAUAAGGCAGGACUGGAAAGUGCACUGUGAAUAUUAAGUGAACUGAUGUGAGAUCUGAACAGUACCCUGCACACAGAAAACACUUUGAAUAUACUGUGAAUAUUCACCAGGAUUAGGAGGCGGUCAACAAAUGUUUCUGGGGCUACCGCACGAAGGAAGGACAAAAGAGGGAAAGUAAUUGGUCAAGUACAAGCUGGAACAUUCAGGGCUGCGGGGACCCCACACAGACAUUUGAUGUGUUCUGACAGCACCUAAAAGUGAGCUGGGCAUGAGGACUGUCCUCCUAGAGCAAGGUCCCUUGCAGUGGACAGAGGCAGGGCAGAGAAAGACAGAGCCUGUCUGAAGGCUUCCUCUCCCGCUGUGAAGAGGCCUUCAGAAUGAAAGGCAUGAUGCAACAUGCCGUUUCCCUCCAGUGUUUCCGCGUCAGUGGCCUUUCCAAGGACACUCCUUGCUGAUUCCUUCCCAUUCCCAGCAUUCCAAACAGUACUCGGAACCCAGUCCUGCCUGCCUUCCCUUCUGAUGACUAAACAAGGCGGGGGUUGGGUUGACCAGGCUGGGGUUCCUUAUUCCCAGAUGGGGUACAUCAGCCGCUAUCCUCAGGAGCUCAGCUAUCCCCUUUCUGCAAAGGCUCUUCAGCACGGCCCCUGGGCAGAGCGCUCUUGCAAGUCUCUUCCCUUCUCUGAGCCUCAAUCACCGAAUAGCAGGAGUUCCGACCCCUCCCUCACUAGGCUGUGGCAUACAACGCCUGGCACAGGGGUAGGGAGAGCAGCAGACCUACCAUAAAGUCCCCAGCCAAAUAGUGGGAGGGCCAGGUGAUCAGCAAGGCAGCUUCUGGGCUGAACAUAAAUCAGCUCUGGACCCAAGCCCGUGACAGGAAGACAGGAUGUCAAUGGCAGCCCGGGGUUGACCUUCCGGAGUCUGCUGUAGUAGCACUAAUUGGGGUCUCCUGGUCACUGGCUUCCCAGCCUUGGGGCAUGAAUGGCUUAGGGACUUCUCCUUCCCCCACAGCUGCUCCCUCUGCCUGGGCAGUGGGGCACUGACCUCCCGAGUAGGUUCUGAUCAAAAGGUCUACAGGAAGUGGUCUGGGGGCCAGAGCGGAGACCAAGCUGGCCCUGCUCGCUAGAGCUUGCACUUCAGCAGGGUCCCUGUAUUUCUUCUUUCUUCUCUUCUGUCUAAAGCCAGAGAGAACAGAGUCCACUUGCCUGUCUGGAAUUCCAGCCUGCCCCUCCUCAGUGGCACUACUGGGGAGGUGUCAUCUCUCCGAGACAAUCUCUUCAUCUGUAAAACAGGCAAACUCCCAUCUGCCUAGAAGGCUGCGUGGUGCUUCAGUGAAUUCACACAGGACAGCACCUGCCCUGCACACAGUAGUCUCACUCGGCAGCCCGCGGCCUGCAUAACUGUCUGUCUGGUCUGAUCUGUCUCUGCGUGGUGCUUCCUACCCCGGGGCCGGGAGUGGCAAGAUCCACAAUCCCACAGGACACAAGGACCCCGGCUCCCCUCCCAGCCCGCCAGGCCCUCAGUCCUCCUGGGCAGGGGACAUCCAGAAGUCAC